rnacentral:misc_RNA from 1 species
GAUGAAGAACGUAGCGAAAUGCGAUAAGUAAUGUGAAUUGCAGAAUUCAGUGAAUCAUCGAAUCUUUGAACGCACAUUGCGCCCGUCAGUAUUCUGGCGGGCAUGCCUGUUCGAGCGUCAUUACGCCCCUCAAGUCCCCUGUGGACUUGGUGUUGGGGAUCGGCGAGGCUGGUUUUCCAGCACAGCCGUCUCUUAAAUUAAUUGGCGGUCUCGCCGUGGCCCUCCUCUGCGCAGUAGUAAAACACUCGCAACAGGAGCCCGGCGCGGUCCACUGCCGUAAAACCCCCCAACUUUUUAUAGUUGACCUCGAAUCAGGUAGGACUACCCGCUGAACUUAAGCAUAUCAAUAAGCGGAGGA